rnacentral:rRNA from 1 species
CAAUAGCGUAUAUUAAAGUUGUUGCAGUUAAAAAGCUCGUAGUUGGAUUUGUGGUGUACUUCGGCGGCCCGUCACUAUGUGAUGGAGCUUGCUGAAGUCGCCAUCCUUGGGUGGAUCCUGUGUGGCAUUAAGUUGUCGUGCAGGGGAUGCCCAUCGUUUACUGUGAAAAAAUUAGAGUGUUCAAAGCAGGCUUAUGCCGUUGAAUAUAUUAGCAUGGAAUAAUAAGAUAGGACCUUGGUACUAUUUUGUUGGUUUGCGCACCAAGGUAAUGAUUAAUAGGGACAGUUGGGGGUAUCCGUAUUUCAUUGUCAGAGGUGAAAUUCUUGGAUUUUUGAAAGACGAACUACUGCGAAAGCAUUUACCAAGGAUGUUUUCAUUAA